CAGUCGUACUGACGGGUAAUCAACCUUUCGGGUGCGAUUCUGUGGGUUUUGAGGAGCUUCACGGCCCUCAUGGUCUACAUAUUUGUGCCAUUUGGGUGUACUUACCUGGUAGUAGGUUAACAUCAAUUUCGGACGUCAUAAAAUGAUGGGAGGAAUGUAGCUUCGGUCUCGUACUGAAGUGUUAUAGCCUCUGGUAGAUGUGAUGAUCGGGAUUGAGGAUUGCAACGAAUACUUUUAGGCUACCCGCCUGAUCUCUGAUGGUUGCUAUGGUGCCGAAAGCUUGCUUACGGUUAUCAGAGUUUGAUUGUCAAAAGGUUAGAACGGGUUAAA
rnacentral:rRNA from 1 species